AGUACAGGGAACACUAUUUACACUACAGAUUUUACACGUUUUUUUGGAAUCAAGCUUCAACAUGCUGCUGCUGAUUCUUUUUGCUGGGCCUCAUGUGCCGCACAAAUAAUACCCGCUCGCUUUAAUGUUUCCGCAGUAUCCCCUUCCUUUGCUCUGGAGAUAGGUAGGCCCUUGGGCGACUUCACCAACAAGUCUUUAUUUACUUCAAACGUUGUGGCCAUCCUUGAGGCAGCUGUCAAGUCCACCCGUGAGCUAAAUGAAACAACAAUAGCUCCAGUCCUGGAACAGGUCACGGCCUUGGUCCAUUAUCUCCAACCUGAAGCGGAAUUUAUAAUAAAAGUGAAGAAAAUCACCAAAGUCUGAAACCUCAACACACUAGUGUCUGUAUGUUUGGCUUGGCUUGAAAAAAUGUUUUCUCUUUAACACUGGAUAAGGAGAAGCCUCAGUGGUUUGUGAUAUGUUUCUAAUUUCAUUUACAUUUUUGGGAAUGCCCCUCAAGCAGGCGUACCACCACAAAAAUGUCAGUCUUAGUUAAUGUUUAGUUGUUGACAAAAUUAAAUUGAGUAAAGCCUGAUUAGUUGUAAAAUGUACUGCAUUUGCUUUGAUUCAUUAAAGAGGGGUACUUACAAAUGGA